rnacentral:rRNA from 1 species
UGCGUAGGUGGCGAGGUAAGUCGGAUGUGAAAGCUCGGAGCUCAACUCCGUAAUGGCAUUGGAAACUACCUUGCUCGAGGGUUGGAGGGGGGACUGGAAUUCUCGGUGUAGCAGUGAAAUGCGUAGAUAUCGAGAGGAACACCAGUGGCGAAGGCGAGUCCCUGGACAACUCCUGACACUGAGGCACGAAAGCUAGGGAGCAAACA